AACGCGAAGAACCUUACCAGGGCUUGACAUCCCGCGCUAUCCAUGGAAACAUGGAGUUUGCGCCUUCGGGUGCAACGCGGAGACAGGUGGUGCAUGGUUGUCGUCAGCUCGUGUCGUGAGAUGUUGGGUUAAGUCCCGCAACGAGCGCAACCCCUACGUUUAGUUGCCAGCAUUAAGUUGGGCACUCUAAAGGAACUGCCGGUGACAAACCGGAGGAAGGUGGGGACGACGUCAAAUCAUCAUGCCCUUUAUGUCCUGGGCUACACACGUGCUACAAUGGCCGGUACAGAGGGCUGCGAAACCGUGAGGUGGAGCGAAUCCCAAAAAACCGGUCUCAGUUCGGAUUGCAGGCUGCGACCCGCCUGCAUGAAGUUGGAAUCGCUAGUAAUCGCGAGUCAGCAUAUCGCGGUGAAUACGUUCCCGGGUCUUGUACACACCG
rnacentral:rRNA from 1 species